UACGUAGGGUGCGAGCGUUGUCCGGAAUUAUUGGGCGUAAAGAGCUCGUAGGCGGUGUGUCACGUCGGCCGUGAAAACCUGCAGCUUAACUGUGGGCGUGCGGUCGAUACGGGCAUCACUGGAGUUCGGUAGGGGAGACUGGAAUUCCUGGUGUAGCGGUGAAAUGCGCAGAUAUCAGGAGGAACACCGGUGGCGAAGGCGGGUCUCUGGGCCGAUAUUGACGCUGAGGAGCGAAAGCGUGGGGAGCAAACAGG
rnacentral:rRNA from 1 species